rnacentral:lncRNA from 1 species
CGGUGCCAAGAGGCUUCAGGACUCGCCUACCCGUGCUAUGGACGAUUUACGUAAAGUUUUCCAGGUUCGGUGCGGGAAAGAAUCGGUCUGGUCGUCUGAGUUGGGGCUUGCACAAGCUUCUGUGGUCUUUCCUGAAAUGUAAGCCAGCCUGUAGGCUUUUUAGAGCUGAGUACAUCUUUCCUCAGAGUUCUACCACACAGGUAGAAAGGCAGGCACCAAAGACCAGCUCACUCGGACUAGUCUAAGCCAGUCUGGCAGGUGCUUUUUCCUGGCAAGUAGCCCAGGUCGAAGUCAAAGCCAGCUAAGCUCUGGGUGGGGCUUGCUUUGCAGAAACUAGACUUAUAUGGUAGGGAGAGGCGGGACACAUGACCUUAAAAGGAAUUUGCACCCUAGAGAAAGAGUCUUAGUGGCACCAAAGGCAGUUGCUUCCCAAGCUUAGGCUGGGAUCUUGAGGGCUGACCUCUGGUAGAAGGCUAUCUCACUGUGUGAUGGUCACAGGGACAGCAGGCGCGGUGUGUAAGGUCUAAUCCGAUUGAAUAGGCAGUACCACUAGAGGUAGCAAUUCGUUUUGGUGAACAUCUAGGUCCUUAAAGUGUUAGGGUGGGUGUGGGGAAACGAGGUGGGCGGGGACUAGACUGGACUCUGAGUCACUUGCCAGUGAUGAAUGGAUACAAAGCUCUGUCUAUACCUGGAAGAUAAUCACUAGGGACAUCAGUGACCAGAAUAGGAGAAAAACUCAAUUCUGGUCCUUUCUCUAUCCUCAAAAAAGGCAUUUGUGGUUCUUUGACUGGGAAAGCCCCCCCCCCCCCCACCAGGCUCGGUCAUUUGAAUACCUGGUUUCCAGUUGGAGGUACUAAUUGGGGGAUUGCGGAAAUGUAGUUUCGCUGGACAACCAAGUCACUGGGGCAGGCUUUGAGAGUUCAAAGACUCCCACCAUUCCUACUUUGCUCUCUGCUUCCUGCUUGUGGUUUGAGAUCUCAGCUAUCACCUUUCUACCAUGAUGGCGAUGACCUCUUACCCCUCUGGAACUGUAGGCUCAAAUACACACCUCUUUAUUU